rnacentral:rRNA from 1 species
GACGAACGCUGGCGGCGUGCUUAACACAUGCAAGUCGAACGGUAAGGCCCUUCGGGGUACACGAGUGGCGAACGGGUGAGUAACACGUGGGUGAUCUGCCCUGCACUUCGGGAUAAGCCUGGGAAACUGGGUCUAAUACCGGAUAGGACCACUGCCUGCAUGGGUGGUGGUGGAAAGCCUUUGCGGUGUGGGAUGGGCCCGCGGCCUAUCAGCUUGUUGGUGGGGUGAUGGCCUACCAAGGCGACGACGGGUAGCCGGCCUGAGAGGGUGACCGGCCACACUGGGACUGAGAGACGGCCCAGACUCCUACGGGAGGCAGCAGUGGGGAAUGUUGCACAAUGGGCGCAAGCCUGAUGCAGCGACGCCGCGUGAGGGUUGACGGCCUUCGGGUUGUAAACCUCUUUCAGCACCGACGAAGCGCAAGUGACGGUAGGUGCAGAAGAAGGACCGGCCAACUACGUGCCAGCAGCCGCGGUAA